AAGUAAAAAGUCGUAACAAGGUCUCCGUUGGUGAACCAGCGGAGGGAUCAUUACCAGAGUGCCUUCAGGCUCUCCAACCCAUUGUGAACAUACCUACGUUCCCCCGGCGGGCCCAGCGCGCGGCGAGGUCUCCCUCGCCCCGCGUCCGCCGAGGGCACCUCAAACCCGAUUUUACGUCGUGUCUUCUGAGGGGCGAAAGCCCGUAAAACAAAAUGAAUCAAAACUUUCAACAACGGAUCUCUUGGCUCUGGCAUCGAUGAAGAACGCAGCGAAAUGCGAUAAGUAAUGUGAAUUGCAGAAUUCAGUGAAUCAUCGAAUCUUUGAACGCACAUUGCGCCCGCCAGUACUCUGGCGGGCAUGCCUGUCCGAGCGUCAUUUCAACCCUCGGGACCCCCCUCCGGGGCGGGACCCGGCGUUGGGGAUCGGAGGCCGCACCGGCCCCCGUCCCCCAAAUACAGUGGCGGUCGCGCCGCAGCCUCCCCUGCGUAGUAGCACACCUCGCACCGGAGAGCGGCUCGGCCACGCCGUGAAACCCCCCACUUCUUCAAGGUGACCUCGGAU
rnacentral:misc_RNA from 1 species